rnacentral:rRNA from 1 species
UACGUAUGGUGCAAGCGUUAUCCGGAUUUACUGGGUGUAAAGGGAGCGCAGGCGGCACGGCAAGCCUGAUGUGAAAGCCCGCAGCUCAACUGCGGGACUGCUUUUGAAACUGCCAGGCUAGAGUGUCGGAGAGGUAAGUGGAAUUCCUAGUGUAGCGGUGAAAUGCGUAGAUAUUAGGAGGAACACCAGUGGCGAAGGCGGCUUACUGGACGAUGACUGACGCUGAGGCUCGAAAGCGUGGGGAGCAAACAGG